GACGAACCGUGCAAACGUUAUUCGGAUUCACUGGGCUUAAAGGGCGCGUAGGCGGGUGGUCAAGUCGGGGGUGAAAUCUUUCAGCUCAACUGGAAAAUAGCUUCCGAUACUGGCCGUCUUGAGGGAGGUAGGGGCAUGUGGAACUUCCGGUGGAGCGGUGAAAUGCGUAGAUAUCUGGAGGAACACCGGUGGCGAAGGCGGCAUCCUGGACCGACACUGACGCUGAGGAGCGAAAGCCAGGGGAGCAAACGGG
rnacentral:rRNA from 1 species